rfam:Methylobacterium platani strain SE2.11 contig_52, whole genome shotgun sequence.
GGGGUUACCGAGGGGAGCCCCGCCGGCAGGGGCUGAGAUUGGACGAGCGCGCGUCCUGACCCUUGAACCUGAUCCGGUUCGUACCGGCGGAGGGACGGGAACCUGCCAUGAC